GGGAGGCAGCAGUGGGGAAUAUUGCACAAUGGGCGCAAGCCUGAUGCAGCCAUGCCGCGUGUAUGAAGAAGGCCUUCGGGUUGUAAAGUACUUUCAGCAGUGAGGAAGGUGGAUAUGUUAAUAGCAUAUUCAUUUGACGUUAGCUGCAGAAGAAGCACCGGCUAACUCCGUGCCAGCAGCCGCGGUAAUACGGAGGGUGCGAGCGUUAAUCGGAAUUACUGGGCGUAAAGCGCAUGCAGGUGGUUUGUUAAGUCAGAUGUGAAAGCCCGGGGCUCAACCUCGGAAUUGCAUUUGAAACUGGCAAACUAGAGUACUGUAGAGGGGGUAGAAUUUCAGGUGUAGCGGUGAAAUGCGUAGAGAUCUGAAGGAAUACCGGUGGCGAAGGCGGCCCCCCUGGACAGAUACUGACACUCAGAUGCGAAAGCGUGGGGAGCAAACAGGAUUAGAUACCCCUGGUAG
rnacentral:rRNA from 1 species